GAAUGCAGUCGAACGAUUAAAGCUCCCUUCGGGGAGUGCAUAAAGUGGCGCACGGGUGAGUAACACGUAAGUAAUCUACCCUCGGGUGGGGAAUAACAUCGGGAAACCGAUGCUAAUACCGCAUAAUGCAGCGGCACCGCAAGGUGACAGUUGUUAAAGAUUUAUUGCCUGGGGAGGAGCUUGCGGCAGAUUAGCUUGUUGGUAAGGUAACGGCUUACCAAGGCUACGAUCUGUAUCCGGUCUAAGAGGACGGUCGGACACACUGACACUGAAUAACGGGUCAGACUCCUACGGGAGGCAGCAGUCGGGAAUUUUGGGCAAUGGGGGAAACCCUGACCCAGCAACGCCGCGUGAAGGAUGAAGUAUUUCGGUAUGUAAACUUCGAAAGAAUAGGAAGAAUUAAUGACGGUACUAUUUAUAAGGUCCGGCUAACUACGUGCCAGCAGCCGCGGUAAUACGUAGGGACCAAGCGUUGUUCGGAUUUACUGGGCGUAAAGGGCGCGUAGGCGGCGCGGUAAGUCACUUGUGAAAUCUCUGAGCUUAACUCAGAACGGCCAAGUGAUACUGCAGUGCUAGAGUGUGGAAAGGGGCAAUCGGAAUUCUUGGUGUAGCGGUGAAAUGCGUAGAUAUCAAGAGGAACACCUGACGUGAAGACGGGUUGCUGGGCCAACACUGACGCUGAGCGCGAAAGCCAGGGGAGCAAACGGGAUUAGAUACCCCGGUAGUCCUGUCCUAAACGAUGAUACUUGUGUCUGGAGUUUAAUGCUCCGGUGCCGUCG
rnacentral:rRNA from 1 species